UACAGAGGUCUCGAGCGUUAGGCGGAAUCACUGGGCUUAAAGCGUGUGUAGGCGGAUCGUUUAGUACCUUGUGAAAUCCCACGGCUUAACCGUGGAAUUGCUGGGUAUACUGGGCGAUCUUGAGCCACUUAGGGGCUACCGGAACAAAUGGUGGAGCGGUGAAAUGCGUAGAUAUCAUUUGGAACGCCAAUGGUGAAAACAGGUAGCUGGGAGUGUGCUGACGCUGAGACACGGAAAGCCCAGGGGAGCAAACGGG
rnacentral:rRNA from 1 species